UGCGUAACACGUAGCUACCUAGGCUCCGAAGUUGGGGAUAGCUCGGCGAAAGCCGGAUUAAUACCAUAAUGUGAUCCGUGAGAUCAAAUGCUGGGGAUCGUAAGACUGGCGCUCUUGAGUAUGGGGCUGCGGCUAUCAGCUAGAUUGUGAGGUAACGGUCACCAAGGCUUACCACGGGUAGUCUGGUCUGAGAAGGACGUACCAGCCACAGCUGGAACUGAGACACGGUCCAGACCACUAUACGGGUGGUAGCAGUCGAGGAUUUUCUCUCAAUGGGGGAAACCCUGAAGGAGCGACGCCGGCGUGAAGGGAUGAAGGUCUUCGGAUUGUAAACCUCUGUCAUCUGGGAACAAAAGUGCUCCCACCUAA
rnacentral:rRNA from 1 species